GACGAACGCUGGCGGCGCGCUUAACACAUGCAAGUCGAACGGAAAGGCCCUGCUUUUGUGGGGUGCUCGAGUGGCGAAAGGGUGAGUAACACGUGAGUAACCUGCCCUUGACUUUGGGAUAACUUCAGGAAACUGGGGCUAAUACCGGAUAGGAGCGCCUGCUGCAUGGUGGGGGUUGGAAAGUUUCGGCGGUUGGGGAUGGACUCGCGGCUUAUCAGCUUGUUGGUGGGGUAGUGGCUUACCAAGGCUUUGACGGGUAGCCGGCCUGAGAGGGUGACCGGCCACAUUGGGACUGAGAUACGGCCCAGACUCCUACGGGAGGCAGCAGUGGGGAAUAUUGCACAAUGGGCGGAAGCCUGAUGCAGCAACGCCGCGUGCGGGAUGACGGCCUUCGUGUUGUAAACCGCUUUCGCCUGUGACGAAGCGUGAGUGACGGUAAUGGGUAAAGAAGCACCGGCUAACUACGUG
rnacentral:rRNA from 1 species